AUCCUUCCCUGGCAGGGGGGGCACCAUGGUCAUAAAGGUGAUUUUCCCAGGGUGAGGCACUCCCACGAAUGUGCUAAUUCCUGAGGUUCCUCUGCAUGUGGGAAGCUCUACUGCAUAGUUGGUGGUAGUGGAGGACUGUGUUUGCAUUUUCCCCUG